UCUCCGUAGGUGAACCUGCGGAGGGAUCAUUACAGAGUUCAUGCCCUACCGGGUAGAUCUCCCACCCUAUGUUAUUAUUACUUUGUUGCUUUGGCGGGCCGUUAGGCUCCGGCCCGACUACCGGCCCCGGCUGGUAAGCGCCCGCCAGAGGACCCAAAACCCUGAAUAUUAGUAUCGUCUGAGUACUAUAUAAUAGUUAAAACUUUCAACAACGGAUCUCUUGGUUCUG
rnacentral:misc_RNA from 1 species